AUGGUGGCCGUUGCUGUGCUUGUGCCUUGGCUAGCAUGGCUCAUUGUCUCUUUCCUUUCCCUCUACCUCCUCAGCCUCCUCGCGCACGCGCGCUCCGGCCUCCCUCCGGGCCCCAGCCCACUGCCGCUCAUCGGCAGCAUCCACCUUCUCGGCGACAAGCCGCACCGCUCUCUUGCUCGCCUAGCCAAAAUCCACAGCCCGCUCAUGUCCAUCCGCCUCGGCACGGUCACCACGGUCGUCAUCUCCUCCCCCGCCAUGGCCCGGGAGUUCCUGCAGAGGCACGGCUGUUUGCACGGCCUCACGCCACCGGCAAGCACGCGGUUGGCUCCGUCCUGGCUGCCCCCCGUGCAGCGGUGGCGCGCGCUCCGCAAGAUAAUGGCCACGGAGCUGUUCGCGCCGCAGCGGCUCGACGCGCUCCACCACCUCCGGAGCGACAAGGUGAGGGAGCUCACGGACCACGUCGCGCGGCUGGCGCGCGAUGGCACGGCGGUGAACAUCGGCCGCGUGGCCUUCACGACGAGCCUGAACCUUGUCUCCCGCACCAUCUUCUCCAUUGACCUCACGAGCCUCGACGACCACGGCCGCUCCAAGGAGUUCCAGGAGGUGAUCACGGGCAUCAUGGAAGGCUUGGGGGCCCCCAACGUGUCGGACUUCUUCCCGGUGCUGGAGCCGGCCGACCUGCAGGGCAUGCGCUGCCGGCUGGCGCGGCUGUUUGCACGGCUGGACGCCGUCUUCGACGCCGAGGUGGACCAGAGGCUGCGCGACCGCGACGCUUGCCAGCCCAGGAAGAACGACUACCUCGACGUGCUGCUCGACGUGGCGGCGAGUGAGGAUGGGAAGGACCUGCUCGACCGCGAGACGCUACGCUCACAUUUCACGGAAUUGUUUGCUGCUGGUAGUGAUACCAACUCUAGCACAGUGGAAUGGGCAAUGGCUGAGCUUCUUCAAAACCAAUCAUCAAUGGCUAAGGUUUGCGACGAGCUUGCACAAGUUAUCGGUGCAAUAAUAAACAUUGAAGAAGCUGACAUUGCUCGGUUGCCCUAUCUUCAAGCUGUCAUAAAAGAGACUCUUCGACUCCACCCUCCCACUCCACUAUUGUUGCCACGCCAACCAAAAGCGAUGGUCAAAAUAGAAGGUUACACAAUAACCAUGGGUUCACACUUGUUCAUAAACGUAUAG
rnacentral:rRNA from 1 species